CCUACGGGUGGCAGCAGUGAGGAAUAUUGGUCAAUGGACGCAAGUCUGAACCAGCCAUGCCGCGUGCAGGAUGACGGCCCUAUGGGUUGUAAACUGCUUUUGUACGAGGGUAAAUGCUGGUACGUGUAACCGCUUGAAAGUACCUUACGAAUAAGGAUCGGCUAACUCCGUGCCAGCAGCCGCGGUAAUACGGAGGAUCCGAGCGUUACCCGGAUUUAUUGGGUUUAAAGGGAGCGUAGGCGGGUUGUUAAGUUAGAUGUGAAAUGUCGGGGCUCAACCCCGGAAUUGCAUUUGAUACUGGCAGACUAGAGAAUAGUUGCGGUAGGCGGAAUGCAUGGUGUAGCGGUGAAAUGCUUAGAGAUCAGGCAGAACACCGAUUGCGAAGGCAGCUUACUAAACUAUCACUGACGUUGAGGCACGAAAGCGUGGGUAGCAAACAGGAUUAGAUACCCCUGUAGUC
rnacentral:rRNA from 1 species